rnacentral:misc_RNA from 1 species
UUAAAAUAAAUGCUACUGUGAUAUUUAAAUCUCAAUAUAUUGAUGCAUAUGAUAUUUCAGAACAUGCAUGUAAUCUUGAUGCUAUAGCGAAACUAUAUGCUUGCCUAGAAAUGAAGGGUUUGAGAGUUUUUCACAUUUCUUCUAUGAUUGCAAAUCUUUGACAGCAACAAUAAAGUUCAGUUAUUUUAGCAGCUAAAUACCAAAUAUAUUUAUCCUUGUGCUAAUUAUUUAAGGUGUCUGUGGAUGAACCAUUUACCAGCUGAAUAUGAAUUGCCUUAUUGUUGGCCUAAUAUAUGAGAUACCUGUGCAGUAAUCUGUUUGAAAUUUAGCUUAUAGGAUGUCAGAGAGUUUUUGGUUUUAUGAGAAGUGAUGAUUUCAUUGAUAGGUUGCAAGAAUGUGUAGUUGUUAUGACAACUUUGAUGAUGGGGCUCCAAAUUCUAGUUUUCUCUGAUCAUUUUGCCUUUACUCGAGCUUCAUAUAGGUUUAUGAAAGUUUUGGCAUACAGAUUAACCUCUGUAAUUUGAGUGACAGAAUAUUAGUCUAAGGUCUAAGCAAGCGUUUUGUUGUGAAUAAGCCUAGCCAAUUCAGUGCUUUCUAGAUGUUGAAGCAUCCUUGCCAUUUGAUGACAUACUAUGUUGGGUUAAUCAUUCAAAUAUCUUGAAUUAUGUCAUAAUUUACCAUAAUUUUUUUUUUCCAAUUGGAACCGAUACCUCAAUCAUGGAUUACAUUUAUGGCUAAAAUCAUCUACAAAACCAGCUUUAGUCGCACCUCAUGAUUUAAGUAUAGGCUAAAAUUGAUCAUUUUCAAUGAACAGCCCAUAGUUGCUGAUUUGGUCAAAGUUUGGGAUUUUUUGUCUAUUGGUUAACCCUAUUGUAUUUCAUAUACUGAUGUGCAAAGAAUGACCAUUUGGUUGGCACAAUUCUAGAAAUGGUCAUAUCUGUUGACUAUCUAGUUCAGAUAGAAGCACAUCUACUACAUAAAUUUUUUGGGUUGACUAGUAGUUCUAAUCUUAGCAAUUAGAUGCUUUUAAGAGAAGGAUUGCAGAAUCAUGUAUAUGGUGAAUGUGGAAUUAUAAUUAGAGUAAUUAGGAUCCUCAAAUACUCUACAGGCUGCAAAGUGCCAUUUUUGUUCUGAUUGUGCAAUGUUUCAAUAUCUUUUCAUUGUCAAUGGUGAGAAAGAAAACUGCAUUCUCCUCUUUGAUCAGCUAUAAUUUUCCUUAGUUGUCUUGUCAUAAAUGGCUUUUUUAAAAUUGUUGAAUUUCAUGUUUGUGCUCCAUAUCUUGUACUAAUGCUGUUUGGUAACAGUGUUUAUAAAUGUGAAAGUGUUUGGGGUGCAAUGAAUCUUAACAGUAGCUGCUCUUCUAAUAUGUUUUUGCAGAAGAUUCUAGAGGGUCUUAUUGCCUAGAAAAGAGACAUUUGCGGAAGAUUUUCAUGCAUUAUGGAGUAUGAGUCAGUUGAAGUUUCACAUGAUGCAGAUGAUAACAGCAAAAUGAACGAAGCAACCAAAUCCAAUCAUGCUGAUGCAAAAGAUGUUCCAAGACCAGUUCCUAGUUCUCCUGGGGUUAAGAAACACAUUAACAAGGUUGAGGGGAAGGAUGAGAAAAUAGUUUCCCAAAAUGUACCUACUGAUGAGGACAAAUCUGGGAAGAUAAAUAUGGAGGCUUCCUUAACAACCGAUGAUGUUAUACGGGCUGGAGGCUUUGGAGCUAGAGAUGAUAUAAGUAGCUUUCUUCCUGUUGCAAGUGAUUCAACAGACUUUGAAGCAACUAUUCUUGAUGCUAGAAACUAUGAAGAGCCGCUGGGAGAAAUAUGCAGACACGGUCUUGGCUGGAGGGAACCAGCAGAAGGAAAAUAACUCAUUUGUCAUUCAACAGACUUUUGCUGGCAUUAGUUUGCUUUUAAGAUAUUAUGGUAUGCAAUUCACAUGUUACCAUAAGGUUUGGCUUUAUUGUUACAAUUUCACGUUUUCUGUUUGCAAUAUCUGGUACUUUUUGGGAACAAAAUAGAUGUUUUCUCCUUGCCUAUUGAAAUGACAGAAAUCAGAUACACAUAGCUCACUGUAUGACAUGCUUAAAAUCACCUACUAUGAGGUUAAUGCUAUGAGUCCUUUUUCAACAUUGGCAUACUUCAAAUUUUCAACUUAAUUGACAGCAAUGUCAAAUGGUUUACUCAUUUUCUAUCUUGCUAAUGCUUCUUGUGGAAACUCAACAACGUAUGAGGACUUCUAAUAAUUUACAGUUUUAGGCAUCAUGACUCCAUAUGCAUCUAGUGCACUUUGUAUAUUUUGUGGCUUACUUGAGCAGCUACAAAAUCAUAUGAAGGCUAUUGCCUUUUAAAGAUUCUUUGGCCUGGAGCUAGGAUUGCAAAAGGGUCAUAAGUUGAUUUCCUCUGUACAAAAACUUCCCACUGAGGACCAAAGUGAGCUUGCCAUUCUUCUUGUGUGUCAUAAUGAGGCAAAUAUUGCUUAGCUCCAAUAUUAGGCUUGCAACAGAAAUCUAGAAUUCUUUGGUUUUGGGUUAAAAUGUGCUGCAAGCCAUCCUUGCCUGUGGAAGAUGGUACUGCCGAGGAUAGGAAUGCCACCAGAUAGAAAAUAUCUUCUCCUGGGGUUAUUAAAGAUGUUUGAUUGUUCCACCUGCAAUAUGAAGGAAAUUUUAGGUUUAGCAUAAAUAUCUCUGAAUCCUGUUGAGGAAAUUGAUUCAUUUUUUCUUCAAAUUACUUGGACUUGUUGACUGGAUACAUGAGGAUGGGACCAUUACUACUGUCUGUAAGAAUGUUGCCAAAGACCUCUAGAGCAAACUCAGAAACCUUGCUUUUUGGGACUAGAAGAUUCAGCCAUGGGUGUGAAACUUCCCAUAAGCCUUUUGCUCGGAGCUUUAUCUCAGACACAUGUACUCUAUCCAGGAAUUCCGCAUAAGAAACUUCUG